rnacentral:tRNA from 1 species
GGGCCGUUAGCUCAGUUGGUAGAGCAUCGGACUUUUAAUCCGCUGGUCGGAGGUUCGAAUCCUCCACGGCCCACCA